UACGUAUGGUGCAAGCGUUAUCCGGAUUUACUGGGUGUAAAGGGAGCGCAGGCGGCGCGUUAAGCCUGGUGUGAAAGCCCGGGGCCCAACCGCGGGACUGCAUUGGGAACUGGCGCGCUGGAGUGCCGGAGGGGUAGGCGGAAUUCCUAGUGUAGCGGUGAAAUGCGUAGAUAUUAGGAGGAACACCAGUGGCGAAGGCGGCCUACUGGACGGUGACUGACGCUGAGGCUCGAAAGCGUGGGGAGCAAACAGG
rnacentral:rRNA from 1 species